GACGAACGCUGGCGGCGUGCCUAAUACAUGCAAGUUGAGCGAUGAAGAUUGGUGCUUGCACCAAUUUGAAGAGCAGCGAACGGGUGAGUAACGCGUGGGGAAUCUGCCUUUGAGCGGGGGACAACAUUUGGAAACGAAUGCUAAUACCGCAUAACAACUUUAAACAUAAGUUUUAAGUUUGAAAGAUGCAAUUGCAUCACUCAAAGAUGAUCCCGCGUUGUAUUGGCUAGUUGGUGAGGUAAAGGCUCACCAAGGCGAUGAUACAUAGCCGACCUGAGAGGGUGAUCGGCCACAUUGGGACUGAGACACGGCCCAAACUCCUACGGGAGGCAGCAGUAGGGAAUCUUCGGCAAUGGACGAAAGUCUGACCGAGCAACGCCGCGUGAGUGAAGAAGGUUUUCGGAUCGUAAAACUCUGUUGGUAGAGAAGAACGUUGGUGAGAGUGGAAAGCUCAUCAAGUGACGGUAACUACCCAGAAAGGGACGGCUAACUACGUG
rnacentral:rRNA from 1 species